rnacentral:rRNA from 1 species
AUUGAACGCUAGCGGGAGGCUUUACACAUGCAAGUCGAACGAGUGGCGGACGGGUGAGUAAUCUAUCGGAACGUGCCCAGUAGGGGGGGAUAACUACUAGAAGGAGUGGCUAAUACCACAUACUAUUGGAUGCGCCGAUAUGGGAUUAGCUAGUUGGGGGGGUAAAGGCUCACCAAGGCAACGAUCCGUAGCUGGUUUGAGAGGACGACCAGCCACACGGGGACUGAGACACGGCCCAGACUCCUACGGGAGGCAGCAGUGGGGAAUUUUGGACAAUGGGGGAAACCCUGAUCCAGCCAUCCCGCGUGUAUGAGAAGGCCUUCGGGUUGUAAAGUACUUUUGGCAGGGAAGCGGUACCUGCAGAAUAAGCACCGGCUAACUACGUGCCAGCAGCCGCGGUAAUAC